CUUGGAUUCAAGUUCAAGUUCAACAUCAGCUCUCAUCUAAAUUAUCACCCCAGCUCUUGCAUAAACACCUAUCCUGAGUUCUUUGAGACAGCAGAGAAAUUGCUUUGUUGCUCUUCAGAGAACCAGAGUGGGUGAUUGAACUUCUCUGCUUGAGAAAGAGAAGUUGCUCCGGAACAAAAGGCAUGCAGUCCCAGAGACAAGAAUGACUCAACUCGUGUCAAGGCUGAGGACCCUGAUACUGGCCAGGAGGAACAGUAGGAGGUUACAGAUGGCUCAUGCCUCCCUCAGGUUCCUGGAAUGAUGAUCUGGAGCCCAGCUUUGCAUC